rfam:Picea glauca, whole genome shotgun sequence.
ACAUGCCUACAACAUAACGUUAAUGCACCAAAUUCCAUUAUAAAUAUGUAGUUAAGCACGCUAAGGAUAGAGUAGUAAUGAGAUGGGUUACCGCUCGGGAAGUUCUAUUGUUUUACAUGCC